rnacentral:lncRNA from 1 species
UUCCUGACGCCUUUUUCUGGUAGCUUAACACAUCGCUGACGGCUUGCAAGAACUACCAUCAUACUCAUGCCAGCUCACUUGUACCAGAAUUUUCUUAUUUUUUUCAUCUUUCCUAUAUUUUCCUCCCAUCCUUGCUACAACUGUAAUAUCACAAGAAAAUGAACAAAACAACAAAAAAUUGCUUAAGACUUUGCAAUUAUUUAAAGUUAAAAGCCUCAAAUGUGUUAUUAUCUGUUCACACAUCAACACCCUCAACUUAAAAAAAAUUCUUGUCCUGAAGCAACCAAAACACAACUAAGUGAAUACAACGAACAUUCAACGGUUAACAACCAAUUUUAGCUCAAAACUCAGUUUACCAUCUCCAAGGUCAACCAACUCAAACUACUGUGCAAUUUAUUGAAAAGAAACAAUGUAGAAUAAAGGCUACUACCCAUGGCAUCAACUAAGUACCAACAAUCAUGCAUGUAAUGUACACUAUCCAAACAAGCAAGUAACUUAGCAAGAUACUAGUGUGCCCUCACAACAAAGAAAUUCCCCUCUUUCUCUCAUAUCAAACAUCGAAAAAAUAUAAAUACGAGUAUUAUCACAAAAACACUCAUGCUUAAAAUGAAGUUCAAACCAAUGUAUGCCAAAUACCAUAUGCUUUCCCUUAUCGUUAUUACCAAGGUUUCCAGAUAGGUAUGCUAGGAUCACUAUAGGUCUUUCUUCGGCUUAUAACGUAGGCUAGGGCUUGUAUGAUAUUACACUGUAUUUAGAGUGACUAACCUCCUUGUCACUCCCUUAACUUGUGGGGUCCACUUAUUAACCUUUUUUUCUCUCUUUUUCUUUUCUUGAUCAUACUUUAAGGAUGGGUGCACUUCUUUUUAUUCUAACAGAUAUUCUAUUCUUACUCUUUUUCACCAGCGCCCAACCUUUUAAUCUUUUUCUUUGAUUUUUUCUCUUCUACUCUACCCUUCUUCAUACCCAACAUAUAUCAUGCACCCUUAUGAUAGCCACCCUCAACUUAGGUUGUUUGCCUACGUUGAGUUUCACAUUGUCCAAGGAGGACCAGGGCCAAAAUAGGUUGAUUAUGAUCUAAAUGGGAAGGUGAUAGGUUUCAUAGAAAGAAAAUGGUAAAUUAAGGUUCAAAUGGGGACCAAGGGAUAUAACGUAUUACAGCGAAGGUCAUUUAGGUUAAGACUGACUUAAAUUGAAAAACGUUCUAUGAUCUUUUCCUAACCCCUAUCUCUCAACUUAGGCAAAAUGAACUGGGAAAGUUCUAUAUUCAGCAAUACCACAGGGAACACAGUAAGAUCUCACACACACUUGGCACACCAGUAUCUCACUAACUACUACCUAUUUUGUUCAUGUAGUUAUUCAGCUAUGAUUUUCUAAGCACGAAACUAAUGCCCUAACGAGAUGCACAAUAGUCACAAUUUGAGGCAGUUCACACAGUCAUGCAAAAUAAACCUUUAGAGAGGUGUUCAAAAUCAAAAAAAUUAGUUGACUACCUAUAGAACCUACACUACUCCUAGUUAUUUACAGAAUAUUCUACAACAACAUGCUACCCUACACCCUCAACUUAAAAUUAAAACAAAAUAAAACUAAGGGUUUAGGGCGUACCUGGUAGAGAUCAAGUACGAGGAUCAUGGGGUUUUACCCCCACAUUAGUGUCUCCAGUCGGGACACUUAUAUUUGGAGCCUGCUGCUGCACUGGCUCAGCCACCACUGCAUCUGAAGGAGGUACACUGGAUGAGGCUUCUACGGCUCUAUGUCAGAGCUCCUCCUCCCUUC